rnacentral:rRNA from 1 species
UACAGAGGGGGCAAGCGUUGUUCGGAAUUACUGGGCGUAAAGGGCGCGUAGGCGGCCUUCUAAGUCGAACGUGAAAUCCCCGGGCUCAACCCGGGAACUGCGUCCGAUACUGGAAGGCUUGAAUCCGGGAGAGGGAUGCGGAAUUCCAGGUGUAGCGGUGAAAUGCGUAGAUAUCAGGAGGAACACCGGUGGCGAAGGCGGGUCUCUGGGCCGAUACUGACGCUGAGGAGCGAAAGCGUGGGGAGCGAACGGG